rnacentral:rRNA from 1 species
GCACAAGCAGCGGAGCAUGUGGUUUAAUUCGAAGCAACGCGAAGAACCUUACCAGAUCUUGACAUCCAAUUGACCAUCUUUUAAUCGAGAUUUUGCCUUCGGGUACAAUUGAGACAGGUGGUGCAUGGUUGUCGUCAGCUCGUGUCGUGAGAUGUUGGGUUAAGUCCCGCAACGAGCGCAACCCUUGUGUUUAGUUGCAAACAGGUCAAGCUGUGCACUCUAGACAGACUGCCGUGGACAACACGGAGGAAGGUGGGGAUGACGUCAAAUCAUCAUGGCCCUUAUGUCCUGGGCUACACACGUGCUACAAUGGCCGGUACAGAGCGCAGCGAAGCCGCGAGGCAAAGCGAAUCGCAAAAAGCCGGUCUCAGUACGGAUUGGAGUCUGAAACCCGACUCCAUGAAGUUGGAAUCGCUAGUAAUCGCGCAUCAGCAUGGCGCGGUGAAUACGUUCCCGGGCCUU